rnacentral:rRNA from 1 species
AUGGAGGUAGACGGCGAGGCCCGCCCGUUCCUCCUCUUCUCCAAGCCCAAGUCCAAUCGCCGGACCGAGCCUCAGCCCCAAGUUCAGGCCCAGCCGAAACCCCCCAAACCCGACCCCACUCCCGCCGUCCAGACCGACCACGGCGACUCUGGCGACUCCGACGACUCCGGUUCCGACUCUGACUCCGACCCGGCGCCCACCGUCGUGACCGACCACGGCGACACCUGCAGCGCGGACGGCGGCGCCGCCGCGGACGCUCUCGCCUCCUUCGCGGACCUCGGCCUGUCGGAGUGGCUGGUCGACGUGUGCACCUCCCUGGGCAUGCGGCGCCCCACGGCCGUGCAGCGGCGGUGCAUCCCGCGCGCGCUCGCCGGCGAGAACGUGCUCGGCAUCGCGGAGACGGGCAGCGGCAAGACGGCCGCGUUCGCGCUCCCCAUCCUGCACCGCCUCGGCGAGGACCCCUUCGGCGUCGCCGCGCUCGCGCUCGCGCCCACGCGGGAGCUCGCGGCGCAGCUCGCCGAGCAGUUCCGCGCGCUCGGCUCGCCGCUGGGGCUCAGGUGCCUCGCGGCGAUUGGAGGGUUCGACUCGCUCGCGCAGGCCAAGGGCCUCGCGCGCCGUCCCCACGUCGUUGUGGCCACCCCCGGCCGCAUCGCCACGCUCAUCAAGAACGACCCUGACCUCGCCAAAGUCUUCGCCCGCACCAAGUUUCUUGUGUUGGAUGAGGCAGAUAGAGUUGUAGAUUCCAAUUUCGAGGAGGACCUCAAGGUGAUAUUUGAUUGUUUGCCAAAGAAGCGGCAAACAUUUCUAUUUUCUGCCACAAUGUCGGAUAAUCUGAGAUCUUUGCUUGAACUUUCGGGAAGCAAGUCGUACUUUUUUGAGGCAUACGAAGGGUUCAAGACUGUUGAGAACUUAAAGCAACAGUAUAUCCAUAUACCUCCGGAUGGAAAAGAGCUCCAUCUUCUGUAUCUCCUGUCAAAAAUGAAGGAAGAUAAUAUACGUUCAGCCAUUGUAUUUGUUUCAACUUGCAGGACAUGCCAAUAUUUGGACUUUGUGUUGCAAGAGCUGGGUCGACCUGCUGUUUCUUUGCACUCUCACAAGGCUCAGUCACAAAGGCUUUCAGCGUUGCAUCGUUUUAAGUCUGGUCAGGUUCCUGUGUUGAUUGCUACCGAUGUGGCCAGUCGUGGAUUGGAUAUCCAAACUGUUGAUCUUGUUAUCAACUAUGACAUUCCAAGGUUUCCACGUGAUUAUAUCCAUAGGGUUGGGCGAACUGCAAGAGCUACCAGGGGAGGGCUCUCAAUAAGCUUUAUAACCCAGAGGGAUAUAUGUCUCCUACAUGAGAUAGAAGAUGACGUGGGAAAUCGAUUCAGUGCAUAUGAGUGCGACGAUAAAGAAGUCACCAAAGAUAUUACAAAGGUAUUCAAAGCGAGGCGUCUUGCAAACAUGAGGAUGGCGGAUGAGGGCCACGAAGACAAGGUUCAAGACAGGAAAGACCAGAAGAAGAGAGACCAGGCGAGAAAGCGCAAACACGACGAGUGA